GGUUGGGUGGGCUUAAAAAGCUCACCCCGUGUUUGAAAUUUGAAAUUGGUUAGUUUGAAACCUACCGUUUUACCCCCUUCGUUUACUUCCCUCAUUUCACGUCCCAUUUUGCAAGUCUAUUCUUCAGUCCCCUUUCACUUUCACUCUUCUGUCACGCGUAAUUAAUCAUCACUCUUUCUUCUCAUUUUCUUCUUUCUUCCGUCGUUUGGGUUUUCUUCUUCGUCUGAUCUCUUCGUUCUCCCUUCGGCUGGAAUGGGUUGUAUGUCUUUCAUUUCUUCGACUAGGAUGGAUUAUUUUCUCUGGCCGCUUCAAUAUUAAAUCAUAUGUCCUCCCUUGCCCUUUUUCUUUGGCUUUUCAUGUAAAUGUGAGGCAAGUUAACUCCUGGUAGGGGAUGCAGACUAUGUUAUUGGAGCUUGGUGAGGGUCAAUCCACCCAAGAACAGGUCUGUUUUCUAUUUUUUUCCUUUUUUUUCCCUGUAAGGCCGAUGAUGAUUUCAAACUAUUUUUGAAACUAUUUUUCCUUAUCUUUGGAGUAUGAUUUAUGUUUUAGUUUUAUUUCCUUUCAACCGUUUUAUGAGUGAAGGUAUUUUUUGCUUCAUUCCAAUAAAUAAAAAUUUGGCAUUCGAAAUUUAAUUUUUGUACAAUUUAAAAUUGAUUUCAACUUUGAAAUUGUUGAAACUGUUUAUUUGGUUUACUUGGAGUUGGAUUUGUUCCAAUCAAAUGUCUUUUUGAAAUCUUGAGGGCUUCAUUAUGGUGUAUUUAUGUCAUUUUUUAGCUCAACCAACAAAUAAAUAGUAACUUGACUAUUACUUAAUUAAUUUAUUUUUGACUUGAUUGCCUUUAAUAUGGGUUUACUAUUUGAAUUUAUUGAGUUAGGUACACUUAAGUUUACCUAACCUUCCUCACCAACCCUACUUAUUGUAUGCUCUACUUAUAUCUCAAUCCGUGUUCAUAUUUUUUUAGACUUCUCCACAGACUCUUUUCUAAACUGUGUUGGUAAGUCCUUCAACCUUCCUUUUUAUUUCAACUUUCUCUUAAAUCUAUUUUCCAUUCUAGUAUGUGUUGUUCGACUAUUUCAAUAUACUUUGUUUCCUUCUUCCACCUCUAGCUUCAACUUAUAAGGUAUGUUUCCUUCUUUUCUUAUAGUCGAAUUAAGGUAUGUCGCUAACAUUUUCUUGUUUUUGUUAGGCUAUCAACAGAUUAUUCUGCCCCCUACUUGUGGACUGUCUUCACCAUCGCUCAAUCCGAACAUAAACAAAGGACCAAACUAAUCGAACAUAUCUAUCGUAACUAGUUUGAGGUAGUAAUGGGUUAUAUGAGGGGCCCUUAUACCAUAACUUCUACAUCCCAACUCCAAAAAAACCAUUCGCUUCAACUUUGAUUACUGGUAUUGACUACUUAUCAUAAUCAAAUGCAAGGUAAUUAUCUUAUGUACAAUUUCAA